CGACGAUGAAGCCCAGCUUGCUGCUGCGGAUUAUUGGGGAAGGGGUGAGUAAUACGUGAGUAACCUGCCCUUGACUCUGGAAUAAGCCUGGGAAACUGGGUCUAAUACUGGAUACUACCUCUUGCCGCAUGGUGGGUGGUGGAAAGGGUUUUACUGGUUUUGGAUGGGCUCACGGCCUAUCAGCUUGUUGGUGGGGUAAUGGCUCACCAAGGCGACGACGGGUAGCCGGGCUGAGAGGGUGACCGGCCACACUGGGACUGAAACACGGCCCAGACUCCUACGGGAGGCAGCAGUGGGGAAUAUUGCACAAUGGGCGGAAGCCUGAUGCAGCGACGCCGCGUGAGGGAUGACGGCCUUCGGGUUGUAAACCUCUUUCAGUAGGGAAGAAGCGAGAGUGACGGUACCUGCAGAAGAAGCGCCGGCUAACUACGUGCCAGCAGCCGCGGUAAUACGUAGGGCGCAAGCGUUGUCCGGAAUUAUUGGGCGUAAAGAGCUCGUAGGCGGUUUGUCGCGUCUGCUGUGAAAGCCCGGGGCUCAACCCCGGGUCUGCAGUGGGUACGGGCAGACUAGAGUGCAGUAGGGGAGACUGGAAUUCCUGGUGUAGCGGUGAAAUGCGCAGAUAUCACGAGGAACACCGAUGGCGAAGGCAGGUCUCUGGGCUGUUACUGACGCUGAGGAGCGAAAGCAUGGGGGAGCGAACAGGAUUAGAUACCCUGGUAGUCCAUGCCGUAAACGUUGGGCACUAGGU
rnacentral:rRNA from 1 species